AACGCUGGCGGCAGGCUUAACACAUGCAAGUCGAGCGGGCGUAGCAAUACGUCAGCGGCAGACGGGUGAGUAACGCGUGGGAACGUACCUUUUGGUUCGGAACAACACAGGGAAACUUGUGCUAAUACCGGAUAAGCCCUUACGGGGAAAGAUUUAUCGCCGAAAGAUCGGCCCGCGUCUGAUUAGCUAGUUGGUGAGGUAAUGGCUCACCAAGGCGACGAUCAGUAGCUGGUCUGAGAGGAUGAUCAGCCACAUUGGGACUGAGACACGGCCCAAACUCCUACGGGAGGCAGCAGUGGGGAAUAUUGGACAAUGGGCGCAAGCCUGAUCCAGCCAUGCCGCGUGAGUGAUGAAGGCCCUAGGGUUGUAAAGCUCUUUUGUGCGGGAAGAUAAUGACGGUACCGCAAGAAUAAGCCCCGGCUAACUUCGUGCCAGCAGCCGCGGUAAUACGAAGGGGGCUAGCGUUGCUCGGAAUCACUGGGCGUAAAGGGUGCGUAGGCGGGUCUUUAAGUCAGGGGUGAAAUCCUGGAGCUCAACUCCAGAACUGCCUUUGAUACUGAAGAUCUUGAGUUCGGGAGAGGUGAGUGGAACUGCGAGUGUANAGGNGAAAUUCGNANAUAUUCNCAAGAACACCAGUG
rnacentral:rRNA from 1 species